rnacentral:rRNA from 1 species
GGUUAAGCGACUAAGCGUACACGGUGGAUGCCCUGGCAGUCAGAGGCGAUGAAGGGCGUGCUAAUCUGCGAUAAGCGCCGGUAAGGUGAUAUGAACCGUUAUAACCGGCGAUACCCGAAUGGGGAAACCCAGUGUGAUUCGUCACACUAUCAUUACGUGAAUACAUAGCGUAAUGAAGCGAACCGGGGGAACUGAAACAUCUAAGUACCCCGAGGAAAAGAAAUCAACCGAGAUUCCCCCAGUAGCGGCGAGCGAACGGGGAGGAGCCCAGAGCCUGAAUCAGCAUGUGUGUUAGUGGAAGCGUCUGGAAAGGCGCGCGAUACAGGGUGACAGCCCCGUACACAAAAGCGCAUGUGCUGUGAGCUCGAUGAGUAGGGCGGGACACGUGGUAUCCUGUCUGAAUAUGGGGGGACCAUCCUCCAAGGCUAAAUACUCCUGACUGACCGAUAGUGAACCAGUACCGUGAGGGAAAGGCGAAAAGAACCCCGGCGAGGGGAGUGAAAAAGAACCUGAAACCGUGUACGUACAAGCAGUGGGAGCACCCUUCGGGGUGUGACUGCGUACCUUUUGUAUAAUGGGUCAGCGACUUAUAUUCUGUAGCAAGGUUAACCGUAUAGGGGAGCCGGAGGGAAACCGAGUCUUAAUUGGGCGUUAAGUUGCAGGGUAUAGACCCGAAACCCGGUGAUCUAGCCAUGGGCAGGUUGAAGGUUGGGUAACACUAACUGGAGGACCGAACCGACUAAUGUUGAAAAAUUAGCGGAUGACCUGUGGCUGGGGGUGAAAGGCCAAUCAAACCGGGAGAUAGCUGGUUCUCCCCGAAAGCUAUUUAGGUAGCGCCUCGUGAAUUCAUCUCCGGGGGUAGAGCACUGUUUCGGCUAGGGGGCCAUCCCGGCUUACCAACCCGAUGCAAACUGCGAAUACCGGAGAAUGUUAUCACGGGAGACACACGGCGGGUGCUAACGUCCGUCGUGAAGAGGGAAACAACCCAGACCGCCAGCUAAGGUCCCAAAGUCAUGGUUAAGUGGGAAACGAUGUGGGAAGGCCCAGACAGCCAGGAUGUUGGCUUAGAAGCAGCCAUCAUUUAAAGAAAGCGUAAUAGCUCACUGGUCGAGUCGGCCUGCGCGGAAGAUGUAACGGGGCUAAACCAUGCACCGAAGCUGCGGCAGCGAACGUAUCACCCAAGACAACUUUACGGAGUUGACGAUUGACGGAGCGAAGCGACGUCAAAGCGUUCAUUAAAGUCGAGUUGGCUUAGGGAUACGUUCGUUGGGUAGGGGAGCGUUCUGUAAGCCUGUGAAGGUGUGUCGUGAGGCAUGCUGGAGGUAUCAGAAGUGCGAAUGCUGACAUAAGUAACGAUAAAGCGGGUGAAAAGCCCGCUCGCCGGAAGACCAAGGGUUCCUGUCCAACGUUAAUCGGGGCAGGGUGAGUCGACCCCUAAGGCGAGGCCGAAAGGCGUAGUCGAUGGGAAACGGGUUAAUAUUCCCGUACUUGGUGUUACUGCGAAGGGGGGACGGAGAAGGCUAUGUUGGCCGGGCGACGGUUGUCCCGGUUUAAGCGUGUAGGUGUGUGUUCCAGGUAAAUCCGGUUCACUUUAACACUGAGGCGUGACGACGAGGCACUACGGUGCUGAAGCAACAAAUGCCCUGCUUCCAGGAAAAGCCUCUAAGCAUCAGGUAACAUCAAAUCGUACCCCAAACCGACACAGGUGGUCAGGUAGAGAAUACCAAGGCGCUUGAGAGAACUCGGGUGAAGGAACUAGGCAAAAUGGUGCCGUAACUUCGGGAGAAGGCACGCUGACACGUAGGUGAAGUGAUUUACUCAUGGAGCUGAAGUCAGUCGAAGAUACCAGCUGGCUGCAACUGUUUAUUAAAAACACAGCACUGUGCAAACACGAAAGUGGACGUAUACGGUGUGACGCCUGCCCGGUGCCGGAAGGUUAAUUGAUGGGGUCAGCGCAAGCGAAGCUCCUGAUCGAAGCCCCGGUAAACGGCGGCCGUAACUAUAACGGUCCUAAGGUAGCGAAAUUCCUUGUCGGGUAAGUUCCGACCUGCACGAAUGGCGUAAUGAUGGCCAGGCUGUCUCCACCCGAGACUCAGUGAAAUUGAACUCGCUGUGAAGAUGCAGUGUACCCGCGGCAAGACGGAAAGACCCCGUGAACCUUUACUAUAGCUUGACACUGAACAUUGAGCCUUGAUGUGUAGGAUAGGUGGGAGGCUUUGAAGUGUGGACGCCAGUCUGCAUGGAGCCGACCUUGAAAUACCACCCUUUAAUGUUUGAUGUUCUAACGUGGACCCGUAAUCCGGGUUGCGGACAGUGUCUGGUGGGUAGUUUGACUGGGGCGGUCUCCUCCUAAAGAGUAACGGAGGAGCACGAAGGUUGGCUAAUCCUGGUCGGACAUCAGGAGGUUAGUGCAAUGGCAUAAGCCAGCUUGACUGCGAGCGUGACGGCGCGAGCAGGUGCGAAAGCAGGUCAUAGUGAUCCGGUGGUUCUGAAUGGAAGGGCCAUCGCUCAACGGAUAAAAGGUACUCCGGGGAUAACAGGCUGAUACCGCCCAAGAGUUCAUAUCGACGGCGGUGUUUGGCACCUCGAUGUCGGCUCAUCACAUCCUGGGGCUGAAGUAGGUCCCAAGGGUAUGGCUGUUCGCCAUUUAAAGUGGUACGCGAGCUGGGUUUAGAACGUCGUGAGACAGUUCGGUCCCUAUCUGCCGUGGGCGCUGGAGAACUGAGGGGGGCUGCUCCUAGUACGAGAGGACCGGAGUGGACGCAUCACUGGUGUUCGGGUUGUCAUGCCAAUGGCACUGCCCGGUAGCUAAAUGCGGAAGAGAUAAGUGCUGAAAGCAUCUAAGCACGAAACUUGCCCCGAGAUGAGUUCUCCCUGAGACUUAGAGUCUCCUGAAGGAACGUUGAAGACGACGACGUUGAUAGGCCGGGUGUGUAAGCGCAGCGAUGCGUUGAGCUAACCGGUACUAAUGAACCGUGAGGCUUAACCUU